AUUGAACGCUGGCGGCAGGCUUAACACAUGCAAGUCGAGCGGGGUGAUGGUGCUUGCACUAUCACUUAGCGGCGGACGGGUGAGUAAUGCUUAGGAAUCUGCCUAUUAGUGGGGGACAACAUCUCGAAAGGGAUGCUAAUACCGCAUACGUCCUACGGGAGAAAGCAGGGGAUCACUUGUGACCUUGCGCUAAUAGAUGAGCCUAAGUCGGAUUAGCUAGUUGGUGGGGUAAAGGCCUACCAAGGCGACGAUCUGUAGCGGGUCUGAGAGGAUGAUCCGCCACACUGGGACUGGAGCACGGCCCAGACUCCUACGGGAGGCAGCAGUGGGGAAUAUUGGACAAUGGGGGGAACCCUGAUCCAGCCAUGCCGCGUGUGUGAAGAAGGCCUUAUGGUUGUAAAGCACUUUAAGCGAGGAGGAGGCUCUUUUGGUUAAUACCCAAGAUGAGUGGACGUUACUCGCAGAAUAAGCACCGGCUAACUCUGUGCCAGCAGCCGCGGUAA
rnacentral:rRNA from 1 species